rnacentral:rRNA from 1 species
GACGAACGCUGGCGGCGUGCCUAAUACAUGCAAGUAGAACGCAGUUGCGAACGGGUGAGUAAAGCGUAGGUAACUGCCUAAUAGCGGGGGGUAACUAUUUGAAACGCUAGCUAAUACAGCAUACUGUGAGAUGGACGUGCGUUGUAUUAGCUAGUUGGGGAGGUAAAGGCUCACCAAGGCGACGAGACAUAGCCGACCUGAGAGGGUGAUCGGACACACAUGGACUGUAACACAGUCCAGAACCCUACGGGACGGAGCAGUGUGGGAUUUUGGGCCAUGGGCGGAAGGCCGACCGGGCAAAGGCGCGUGAGGGAAGAAGGUUUUCAGAUCGUAAAGCACUGCUGUGAGAGAAGCGGUAACUAACCAGAAAGGAACGGCUAACUACGUGCCAGCCGCCGCGGUAAUAC